rnacentral:rRNA from 1 species
AGAGUUUGAUCCUGGCUCAGAUUGAACGCUGGCGGCAGGCCUAACACAUGCAAGUCGAGCGGUAACAGAUCCAGCUUGCUGGAUGCUGACGAGCGGCGGACGGGUGAGUAACGCAUAGGAAUUUACCCGAUAGUGGGGGAUAACCUGGGGAAACUCAGGCUAAUACCGCAUACGUCCUACGGGAGAAAGGGGGCCUUGGCUCCCGCUAUCGGAUGAGCCUAUGCCGGAUUAGCUGGUUGGUGAGGUAAUGGCUCACCAAGGCGACGAUCCGUAGCUGGUCUGAGAGGAUGAUCAGCCACAUCGGGACUGAGACACGGCCCGAACUCCUACGGGAGGCAGCAGUGGGGAAUAUUGGACAAUGGGGGCAACCCUGAUCCAGCCAUGCCGCGUGUGUGAAGAAGGCCCUCGGGUUGUAAAGCACUUUCAGCGAGGAAGAACGCCUGGCGGUUAAUACCCGCCAGGAAAGACAUCACUCGCAGAAGAAGCACCGGCUAACUCCGUGCCAGCAGCCGCGGUAAUACGGAGGGUGCAAGCGUUAAUCGGAAUUACUGGGCGUAAAGCGCGCGUAGGUGGCUUGAUAAGCCGGUUGUGAAAGCCCCGGGCUCAACCUGGGAACGGCAUCCGGAACUGUCAGGCUAGAGUGCAGGAGAGGAAGGUAGAAUUCCCGGUGUAGCGGUGAAAUGCGUAGAGAUCGGGAGGAAUACCAGUGGCGAAGGCGGCCUUCUGGACUGACACUGACACUGAGGUGCGAAAGCGUGGGUAGCAAACAGGAUUAGAUACCCUGGUAGUCCACGCCGUAAACGAUGUCNACCAGCCGUUGGGUGCCUA